rnacentral:tRNA from 1 species
GUUUCGGUAGCUCAGUUGGUAGAGCACUUGCCCGCAAAAGGCAAAGGUCCCGAGUUCGAGUCUCGGUCCGGGACA